AGUGGGGGAUAACGWAGCGAAAGUUACGCUAAUACCGCAUAUGCCCUGAGGGGGAAAGGUGGGGAUCGCAAGACCUAUCGCUUUCGGAGUGGCCGAUAUCAGAUUAGCUAGUUGGUGGGGUAAAGGCCUACCAAGGCGACGAUCUGUAGCUGGUCUGAGAGGACGACCAGCCACACUGGGACUGAGACACGGCCCAGACUCCUACGGGAGGCAGCAGUGGGGAAUUUUGGACAAUGGGGGCAACCCUGAUCCAGCCAUGCCGCGUGAGUGAAGAAGGCCUUCGGGUUGUAAAGCUCUUUCAGCCGGAAAGAAAUCGCACCGAUUAAUACUCGGUGUGGAUGACGGUACCGGAAGAAGAAGCACCGGCUAACUACGUGCCAGCAGCCGCGGUAAUACGUAGGGUGCGAGCGUUAAUCGGAAUUACUGGGCGUAAAGCGUGCGCAGGCGGUUUUGUAAGACAGGCGUGAAAUCCCCGGGCUUAACCUGGGAACUGCGUUUGUGACUGCAAGGCUAGAGUAUGGCAGAGGGGGGUAGAAUUCCA
rnacentral:rRNA from 1 species